rnacentral:rRNA from 1 species
GACGAACGCUGGCGGCGUGCUUAACACAUGCAAGUCGAACGCUGAAGCUCAGCUUUUGUUGGGUGGAUGAGUGGCGAACGGGUGAGUAACACGUGAGUAACCUGCCUCCUUCUUUGGGAUAACGCCCGGAAACGGGUGCUAAUACUGGAUAUUCACUGGUCUUCGCAUGGGGGUUGGUGGAAAGGGUUUUUCUGGUGGGGGAUGGGCUCGCGGCCUAUCAGCUUGUUGGUGGGGUGAUGGCCUACCAAGGCUUUGACGGGUAGCCGGCCUGAGAGGGUGACCGGUCACAUUGGGACUGAGAUACGGCCCAGACUGCUACGGGAGGCAGCAGUGGGGAAUAUUGAACAAUGGGCGCAAGCGUGAUGCAGCGACGCCGCGUGAGGGAUGGAGGCCUUCGGGUUGUGAACCUCUUUCGCUCAUGGUCAAGCCGCAACAAUGGUUGUGGUGAGGGUAGUGGGUAAAGAAGCGCCGGCUAACUACGUG